rnacentral:rRNA from 1 species
AGGACGAACGCUGGCGGCGUGCUUAACACAUGCAAGUCGAGCGGAAAGGCCCUUUCGGGGGUACUCGAGCGGCGAACGGGUGAGUAACACGUGAGUAAUCUGCCCUUGGCUUCGGGAUAGCCACCGGAAACGGUGAUUAAUACCGGAUACGACACAUCACUACAUGGUGCGUGUGUGGAAAGUUUUUUCGGCCAGGGAUGUGCUCGCGGCCUAUCAGCUUGUUGGUGGGGUAAUGGCCUACCAAGGCUUCGACGGGUAGCCGGCCUGAGAGGGUGACCGGCCACACUGGGACUGAGACACGGCCCAGACUCCUACGGGAGGCAGCAGUGGGGAAUAUUGGACAAUGGGCGGAAGCCUGAUCCAGCAACGCCGCGUGAGGGAUGACGGCCUUCGGGUUGUAAACCUCUUUCAGCACAGACGAAGCGCAAGUGACGGUAUGUGCAGAAGAAGGACCGGCCAACUACGUGCCAGCAGCCGCGGUAAUACGUAGGGUCCGAGCGUUGUCCGGAAUUAUUGGGCGUAAAGGGCUCGUAGGCGGUUUGUCGCGUCGGGAGUGAAAACACCGGGCUUAACUCGGUGCUUGCUUUCGAUACGGGCAGACUAGAGGUAUUCAGGGGAGAACGGAAUUCCUGGUGUAGCGGUGAAAUGCGCAGAUAUCAGGAGGAACACCGGUGGCGAAGGCGGUUCUCUGGGAAUAUCCUGACGCUGA